rnacentral:lncRNA from 1 species
CUAUGCCAUAGUUCCUCAGACAAUGACCACAGACAGGCUUCUCCUUCUCAGAGAGGGAGAUUCCCAACUUCAGGGUGGUGCUGCCAUGCUGACAUCCAGCAAAUUUGUUUACAUAAAGCUUUAUCAGAGGUUAAUCCUCUAAAGACAGAAUUUGUGGGAAAGAGCCAACUCAAUCCCCAAUCUCUCAAGGCAACGCUGGAUCCUCAACCGGCUGAGCGAGGUCAGGGAUUGAACCUGCAUCUUCAUGGAAUACUAGUCAGGUUUGCCAACCCCUGAGCCACGAUGGGAACUCUUGACACUUUUAUAAUCAAAGUGGUAAUAUUUCUGACAGGGCCCUCAGUUAAAUCAUAAAGAUUCCAUCCUGGAAAGAAUCCUUGAUCCAUCUAAAACCUUGUUACUGUGUCCUCUGUUGUUAUUUUUAAUUCCUGAGAGUAACACCACAGUGUAUUUCAUUAGGGUUUCUCUUCAG